CAGCCGCCGCGGGAAUACGUAGGGUGCAAGCGUUAAUCGGAAUUACUGGGCGUAAAGGGUGCGUAGGCGGGAUCUUAAGUCAGGGGUGAAAUCCCGAGGCUCAACCUCGGAACUGCCUUUGAUACUGGGGUCCUUGAGUCCGGAAGAGGUGAGUGGAACUGCGAGUGUAGAGAUGAAAUUCGUAGAUAUUCGCAAGAACACCGGUGGCGAAGGCGGCUCACUGGUCCGGAACUGACGCUGAGGCACGACAGCGUGGGGAGCAAACAGGAUUAGAUACCCCGGUAGUCCCUGUCUCUUAUAC
rnacentral:rRNA from 1 species